UUCGGUGGUCAUAGCGUGAGGGAAACGCCCGGUUACAUUCCGAACCCGGAAGCUAAGCCUUACAGCGCGAUGGUAUACUGCAGGGGGGACCCUGUGGGAGAAGUAGGACACCGCCGAAC
rnacentral:rRNA from 1 species